rnacentral:rRNA from 1 species
UACAGAGGUGGCAAGCGUUGUUCGGAAUUACUGGGCGUAAAGCGCACGUAGGCGGCUCUUUAAGUCGGGGGUGAAAUCCUGGAGCUCAACUCCAGAACUGCCUUCGAUACUGGAGAGCUCGAGUCCGGGAGAGGUGAGUGGAACUGCGAGUGUAGAGGUGAAAUUCGUAGAUAUUCGCAAGAACACCAGUGGCGAAGGCGGCUCACUGGCCCGGUACUGACGCUGAGGUGCGAAAGCGUGGGGAGCAAACAGG